UUUCUGAGCAUGGGGAAUAGGGAACAAUUUUUUAUGCUUUAAUUUAGUAAUGUGAGUAAUUCAACAUUGUUGCACACUGUUAAACAUUUCCCUUAAAUCUGUUGUAGCAUGGUAGAAGAGUAAUUUAAGUUCAUAACAGAAGAGCUUUGACAGGGCACAUUUGAGGGUAAUGAGGCCUGCUUCCUUCUCUAGGUUACCUCUUAGCUACAACAUAACUUGUGAACCCAUCUGCCCUCUCAAAAAGAGAGGGGAGGGGAGAAAGAGAGAAAGGAUGGAAGAGGCAAAGCAGUGGAGGGAGAGAGGAAUAGAAAUGAGCUAUUAAAUGUAGCACUAAUCUAAAAUCUCAGAGGCAAACUGUAAAGUAGGCAUUUGUAUACAGCAAGUGUAUAUACAAGUGUCAGUGGUGAUUUUGGUGUCUUACAAUUAGUAUGCACAUUUACUUGCUUCAUGGAACAAAUAUAUCUUUCCCCUUUUCUUGUGGCUUGAACCCCAGGGCUCACAAUGGUUGACUACCCUCCUGGUCCAAUUUUUAUUUGCCUUUAAGAGAGCUAUUUUCAUACACAGACUAUUUUGUGAGUUGAUAAGAAGUCUGUUUAUCAUAUAGCUUGUAAUGCUUGACUGUGGAGUUAGCUUAGUUUGACUAGAAAGUAAUAUACAGUUCAUCAAGCAAAACCAUGAGCUUAAUCAUGGAGACAUGCAUUCAAAGAUUUUUCUGUGUAGCCUCAGCUGUCCUGGAACUUGCUCUGUAGGCCAGGCAGGCCUGGAACUCAGAGAUCCACCUGUUCCUGCAUUGCAAGUGCCAGGAUUAAUGGCAUGCACUGCCAUGCCCAUCCCUGUAGUCUUUCAAAUGGAUGUUGUAUUUAUGUUGGACGAGAGAUUAAUCCUUGGAGAAUGACUGAGACAAUAGCUAGGAAAUGCUUAGCACACUGACCCUCUAUCUAAGUAUUCAGAUCAUAUUAGGAGAACAGUCCAGAACAAACAGAACACUAGAGACUGAUUCAUCUCUCAAGCCUUGUUGAGAAUCAGUUAUGUAAAGAAAGUAUUCAAAAAAAAAACCAAAAAAACCUGCUUGAGCACUUAACUGUGUGGUUGCUCCAGAGCUGCACUGUGACUCACACUUGAUAGCCCAGCACUCAGGACACCAAGGCAGGAGGGUCACUUUUGAGUUUGAGACCACCCUGGACUACAGUGUGAAACCCUGUCUCACAACAAAAGACAAAGCUCAAAACUGACGAUCUUUAGGAAGAUCUCAAGUCUGUAUUUUACUGUUCCAUGUUGGUGUUGAUUUUUUUUUUUUUUUUUUUGAAGCCUCCUCCCCCCACUUCCCCUGUUGACGAUUUAAAUUCAGAUCUUUCUUCAAGGGACC
rnacentral:lncRNA from 1 species